UGCUGUGGACUGGUACCAUAGCUGCGCGACCAGCAUCACCAUAAUCAAUAUAAUCAAUGCUGCUGUGGAGAGUUUGCCACCUGUUGUAAAUGUUUCAGUCAGCGCGCGUCCAGAAAGAGUAGAGCGGCUUGUUUUGAAGGGAAAUCCAUUGUUUGGUGAGACAUUUAUAGGAGACAUUGUGGAUUACAGACAUGCUGCAUGUUUCGUGUGUUCCAUGUGCGGCUGCACGAGGACGCUGAUGGUGAUGCCAUUUGCACGGAGGGAUUCAUGAGAUGUGUUUCUGCGGUCAUAACAUCCAGACCAGCAAUGUACGACUAGAGCAACUCGGGCCUGAAACCUCUUUCUGAGGGUUGGUUUCUCUCUUUGGUUAUCUAGCUGUAUGAGUUUUAACACUUUUCAUAAAGCUAGAUAACCGAAAGUAGAAAUAAUUCUCAAAAUCUGUUGCAAGUAGCCUGAAAGCUAGAGAACACCUGCUUUUACCUCAGACUCUUAUUUCCAUCCACAAUAUGGCACAAUAAAGACAACAAGGGCACAGCCAUCAGUGAGAGAGAUGCUUGGAGGAACAUGGCAGUUUCCAUUUGCUACAUCUUCCUUCCUCCGCCUAUACCCAGAAACCCCCAGUGCCAUCUGUACCCCUGUGGGGUGCGGGAGAAUUUGUGCCAGUGCCAGCGGCGACAAAAACCUCGUCAGCGUCCUGGAGCCCCGACACAGACGGCACAGGGAGAGAAGGGAGGCCAUCUUGACGGAGAUCUUACACAGGAAGCUAAGAUGGCUGGGCUGGCACAUGAGAUGUGGGCUGAACUUGAUGGAUACACACACUUGUGGGAUGAAAAUCGACUAAUUAUGCAUAACGAGAGAACAAUGGGAGCCUAAAGCACCUGAAAGUUUAAGAGGCACAUAAAAUCAUGUUGAUGGUGAAGUGUGUAUAUGAGAGCAAAAGUAUUAUGUCUUUAAUAAAAAAAAUGUAUUGUACUGUAUUGUAUUUUCGUUUAGAUCAUGUGAACCAUAAGCAUACAGUUGCUUAAAGAUAUACACAUAUUUGUAGAGUAAAAGUAAUUUAUUCAUUUUUAUAAAUGUAUUUUUUUUUACUCUGACAGGUUUUAAAAAUAGAACUAUAAUGUACAUUUUAUAUACACACAUAUUUUAUAUUUUUGACCAUGUAUUUUUACUUUAUUUGUUAUAUCUAUAUAUAAAAUAUGUAUUCUUUGUAUUGCAUUGUACUGAUAAUUUAAUAAAAAAUAAGUGUGAUUCAAA